CUGUUUGUUUGCCUCUGAAUGGUUCCAUUAAGAGGCUACCUCUGAAUCGGUCAGAGGUAGGUAUGUUUGGUUCACUAAAACAUCACCUCUUAAUGGUUCCAUUCAGCUCUGAAUGGUUCAGCAUUUGAGAGAGUCUGAAUGAAAAAUAAGACCUCUGUACCCUUCCUCAAACAAAACACGCUGCUCUCCUCCCUCAACCUCUCAUAUCACUCUGUAAUUCCCUCCCUCCUCCAUCCUUUUGCCCUGCCACCAUAGCCACCGUCCUCCUCCUCGACGGCCACCGUCCUCCUCCUAUUGCGCCGCUCACUCACUUCCUCUUUCUCCCUCCUUUUGCACUGCCACCACAGCCACCGUCCUCCUCCAGACGCGACCACCUCCAAUCGAUGACCUUCAACCAUCCUAGCCACCAGCCUCCUCCAAUCGACGACCUUCAGCCACACCAGUCACCGCUUUCCUCCUCCGUUCGACGACCAUUAGCCACCGGCCUCCUCCACAGAAAUGGCAGAAAAUGGGUAAGAUUAACUGGAAGCAAGAGGGGUAAAAAAGUCAUUAUACAUACUCAUUCAGAGGUCUAACCAAACAGCACAUUACCGGUUCAGCACUUACUGGGUCAGAGUCUCUUACCCAUUCAGACCUCUUAAUGGUUCAGCACUUAACCAGUCAGAGGUUGCCAAACAGCCCCUUAGAGAAAGAGUAAUUGUUGUUUGUCCGAGACAUCUUAAUCCUUAAUAAACGUAAAAAAAAUAUAAUGCUUUAUACUUCUAUGCAUUUGAACUGUAUUUUCACUUUGUCAAUAAGUAAUUUAUGUAAAUGAGUAACUUAUGUAAUAUGCCACUUUUGUAUUUAUAUUAUUUAUACACUUUGUGAUAAUGUAGAUUAAAUUUUCCGACCCGCGAAGUUCGCAGGUGAUAA